AAAUUCUGAGAUCAACUCAUCAAAUGGAUCACACACACUCCCUGAUAAUUUAGAAUUAUAGGUCAAAGCUACUGAGGGAAAAAAGAAAGGUCGUGUGCUUGGAACCAAAGCAAGUGAUCCAAUGCCAUUACCAAUUCCUGAUAAUAUGGCGACUUCACAGAACACAACGACAAAUUUUAUAGAAAUUCAACAACAAAAAAGUAAAGAAGACUUUGAUCGGGGCAGUUCAAGAGACCAUUAGAAAACAGAUGCCGGAUAUACUAAAG
rnacentral:lncRNA from 1 species